rnacentral:rRNA from 1 species
GGGCCCGCACAAGCGGUGGAGCAUGUGGUUUAAUUCGAUGAUACGGACGAAGCACUUACCAGGGCUUAAAUGCAGAGCGACAGAGGUGGAAACACCUCCUUCUUCGGACGGUCUGCAAGGUGCUGCAUGGUUGUCGUCAGCUCGUGCUGUGAAGUGUCGGGUUAAGUCCCAUAACGAGCGCAACCCCUAUUUCUAGUUGCCAGCGGUUCGGCCGGGGACUCUAGAGAAAACUGCCAGCGUAAGCUGUGAGGAAGGUGGGGAUGACGUCAAAAUCAUCACGGCCCUUACGUCCUGGGCUACACACGUGCUACAAUGGUAGGGACAGAGAGUUGCCAACCCCGCGAGGGUGAGCU